rnacentral:rRNA from 1 species
GACGAACGCUGGCGGCGUGCUUAACACAUGCAAGUCGAACGGAAAGGCCCUGCUUUUGUGCGGUGCUCGAGUGGCGAACGGGGGAGUAACACGUGAGUAACCUGCCCUUGACUUUGGGAUAACUUCAGGAAACUGGGGCUAAUACCGGAUAGGAGCUCCUGCUGCAUGGUGGGGGUUGGAAAGUUUCGGCGGUUGGGGAUGGACUCGCGGCUUAUGAGCUUGUUGGUGGGGUAGUGGCUUACCAAGGCUUUGACGGGUAGCCGGCCUGAGAGGGUGACCGGCCACAUUGGGACUGAGAUACGGCCCAGACUCCUACGGGAGGCAGCAGUGGGGAAUAUUGCACAAUGGGCGGAAGCCUGAUGCAGCAACGCCGCGUGCGGGAUGACGGCCUUCGGGUUGUAAACCGCUUUCGCCUGUGACGAAGCGUGAGUGACGGUAAUGGGUAAAGAAGCACCGGCUAACUACGUG